rnacentral:rRNA from 1 species
AGAGUUUGAUUAUGGCUCAGGAUGAACGCUAGCUACAGGCUUAACACAUGCAAGUCGAGGGGCAUCGAGAAGAAAGCUUGCUUCUUGUCGGCGACCGGCGCACGGGUGAGUAACGCGUAUCCAACCUUCCCUAUAGUAGGGGAUAGCCCGGCGAAAGUCGGAUUAAUACCCUAUGUUAUUCAACGAUGGCAUCUGAAUUGAAUCAAAGGUUUACCGCUAUAGGAUGGGGAUGCGUCUGAUUAGCUUGUUGGCGGGGUAACGGCCCACCAAGGCAACGAUCAGUAGGGGUUCUGAGAGGAAGGUCCCCCACAUUGGUACUGAGACACGGACCAAACUCCUACGGGAGGCAGCAGUGAGGAAUAUUGGUCAAUGGGCGAGAGCCUGAACCAGCCAAGUAGCCGUGCAGGAUGACUGCCCUAUGGGUUGUAAACUGCUUUUAUAGGGGAAUAAAGUGAGGGACGUGUCCCUUUUUGUAUGUACCCUAUGAAUAAGGACCGGCUAAUUCCGUGCCAGCCGCGGC